AAACCUAUCCUGUUCUUUUUCAUAGUACAGGGGCGGAUCUAGCUUUUUGCUAAGGGGGGGGGUUGACCAAAAUAAUGAACUGAUUUUUGAAUCUAGACCAUGGAAUAGGGGCUUGCUCCAUCCUGGUCACGGGUUGGCCCGGUAUUGCAGUACCUCCGGGAUGCGCGUUUCCGUU
rnacentral:snRNA from 1 species